UACGUAGGGGGCUAGCGUUGUCCGGAAUCAUUGGGCGUAAAGCGCGCGUAGGCGGCCCGGUAAGUCCGCUGUAAAAGUCAAAGGCUCAACCUUUGAAUGCCGGUGGAUACUGUCGGGCUAGAGUCCGGAAGAGGCGAGUGGAAUUCCUGGUGUAGCGGUGAAAUGCGCAGAUAUCAGGAGGAACACCGGUGGGGAAGCCGGGUGCCUGGCCCAACAUUGACACUUAGGCUCGAAAGCGUGGGGAUCAAACAGG
rnacentral:rRNA from 1 species